rnacentral:siRNA from 1 species
UACGGAUUUACGUGUUUUGGCG